rnacentral:rRNA from 1 species
GAUGAACGCUGACAGAAUGCUUAACACAUGCAAGUCAACUGUGGCGGACGUGUGAGUAACGCGUAAAGAACUUGCCUCACGGAUAGGGACAACAUUUGGAAACGAAUGCUAAUACCUGAUCCUGUGAGCGAGCUUUGCGUCCCAUUAGCUAGUUGGAGAGGUACCGGCUCACCAAGGCGAGGAUGGGUAGCCGGCCUGAGAGGGUGAUCGGCCACAAGGGGACUGAGACACGGCCAUUAGUCAUACGGGAGGCAGCAGUGGGGAAUAUUGGAAGAUGGACCAAAGUCUGAUGCAGCAAUUCUGUGUGCACGAUGAAGUUGUCGGAAUGUAAAGUGCUUUCAGUUGGGAAGCGGUACCAACAGAAGAAGUGACGGCUAAAUACGUGCCAGCAGCCGCGGUAAUAC